rnacentral:hammerhead_ribozyme from 1 species
AUCCAGCUGACGAGUCCCGAAUAGGACGAAGUGGGUGUUAUCCUGGAU